GACGAACGCUGGCGGCGUGCCUAAUACAUGCAAGUAGAACGCACAGUUUAUACCGUAGCUUGCUACACCAUACACUGUGAGUUGCGAACGGGUGAGUAACGCGUAGGUAACCUGCCUGGUAGCGGGGGAUAACUAUUGGAAACGAUAGCUAAUACCGCAUAAUAUUGAUUAUUGCAUGAUAAUUGAUUGAAAGAUGCUAUUGCAUCACUACCAGAUGGACCUGCGUUGUAUUAGCUAGUAGGUGAGGUAACGGCUCACCUAGGCGACGAUACAUAGCCGACCUGAGAGGGUGGUCGGCCACACUGGGACUGAGACACGGCCCAGACUCCUACGGGAGGCAGCAGUAGGGAAUCUUCGGCAAUGGACGAAAGUCUGACCGAGCAACGCCGCGUGAGUGAAGAAGGUUUUCGGAUCGUAAAGCUCUGUUGUAAGAGAAGAACGGGUGUGAGAGUGGAAAGUUCACACUGUGACGGUAUCUUACCAGAAAGGGACGGCUAACUACGUG
rnacentral:rRNA from 1 species